rnacentral:rRNA from 1 species
ACAGUGGACGCGAGCAUCUGUGGCCAAGUUUUUAAGGGCGCACGGUGGAUGCCUUGGCACCAGGAACCGAUGAAGGACGUGGGAGGCCACGAUAGUCCCCGGGGAGUCGUCAACCAGGCUUUGAUCCGGGGGUUUCCGAAUGGGGAAACCCGGCAGUCGUCAUGGGCUGUCACCCUUGUCUGAACACAUAGGGCAAGUGGAGGGAACGCGGGGAAGUGAAACAUCUCAGUACCCGCAGGAAGAGAAAACAACCGUGAUUCCGGGAGUAGUGGCGAGCGAAACUGGAUGAGGCCAAACCGUAUACGUGUGAGACCCGGCAGGGGUUGCGUAUGCGGGUUGUGGGAUCUCUCUUUCACAGUCUGCCGGCUGUGAGACGAGUCAGAAACCGUUGAUGUAGGCGAAGGACAUGCGAAAGGUCCGGCGUAGAGGGUAAGACCCCGUAGUCGAAACAUCAGCGGCUCGUUUGAGAGACACCCAAGUAGCACGGGGCCCGAGAAAUCCCGUGUGAAUCUGGCGGGACCACCCGCUAAGCCUAAAUAUUCCCUGGUGACCGAUAGCGGAUAGUACCGUGAGGGAAUGGUGAAAAGUACCCCGGGAGGGGAGUGAAAUAGUACCUGAAACCGUGUGCCUACAAGCCGUGGGAGCGUCGGAUAUGUGCUUGCACAUAUCUCGUGACUGCGUGCCUUUUGAAGAAUGAGCCUGCGAGUUUGCGGUGUGUUGCGAGGUUAACCCGUGUGGGGAAGCCGUAGCGAAAGCGAGUCCGAAUAGGGCGGUAUAGUAGCGCGCUCAAGACCCGAAGCGGAGUGAUCUAGCCAUGGGCAGGUUGAAGCGGAGGUAAGACUUCGUGGAGGACCGAACCCACCAGGGUUGAAAACCUGGGGGAUGACCUGUGGUUAGGGGUGAAAGGCCAAUCAAACUCCGUGAUAGCUGGUUCUCCCCGAAAUGCAUUUAGGUGCAGCGUCGUGUGUUUCUUGCCGGAGGUAGAGCACUGGAUAGGCGAUGGGCCCUACCGGGUUACUGACCUUAGCCAAACUCCGAAUGCCGGUAAGUGAGAGCGCGGCAGUGAGACUGUGGGGGAUAAGCUCCAUGGUCGAGAGGGAAACAGCCCAGAGCAUCGACUAAGGCCCCUAAGCGUACGCUAAGUGGGAAAGGAUGUGGAGUCGCAGAGACAACCAGGAGGUUGGCUUAGAAGCAGCCACCCUUGAAAGAGUGCGUAAUAGCUCACUGGUCUAGUGAUUCCGCGCCGACAAUGUAGCGGGGCUCAAGCGUACCGCCGAAGUCGUGUCAUUGCAGCAAUACUCCCAACGGAGGCUGUGAUGGGUAGGGGAGCGUCGUGUGCCGGGUGAAGCCGCGCCGGAAGGCAGUGGUGGACGGUUCACGAGUGAGAAUGCAGGCAUGAGUAGCGAUUCACACGUGAGAAACGUGUGCGCCGAUUGACUAAGGGUUCCUGGGUCAAGCUGAUCUGCCCAGGGUAAGUCGGGACCUAAGGCGAGGCCGACAGGCGUAGUCGAUGGAUAACCGGUUGAUAUUCCGGUACCCGCUGUGAAGCGUCAAACAUCGAACCCAUUAAUGCUAAGGCCGUGAAGCCGCCCUGGAGCCUUCGGGCAAAGGGGAGUGGUGGAGCCGCCGAACCAAGGUGGUAGUAGGUGAGUGAUGGGGUGACGCAGGAAGGUAGUCCAUCCCGGGCGGUGGUUGUCCCGGGGUAAGGGUGUAGGACGUCAGGUAGGCAAAUCCGCCUGACAUGUGUCUGAGACCUGAUGCCGAGCCGAUUGUGGUGAAGUGGAUGAUCCUAUGCUGUCGAGAAAAGCCUCUAGCGAGUUUCAUGGCGGCCCGUACCCUAAACCGACUCAGGUGGUCAGGUAGAGAAUACCGAGGCGUUCGGGUGAACUAUGGUUAAGGAACUCGGCAAAAUGCCCCCGUAACUUCGGGAGAAGGGGGGCCAUGUCCGGUGAUUGGAUUUACUCCAUGAGCUGGGGGUGGCCGCAGAGACCAGCGAGAAGCGACUGUUUACUAAAAACACAGGUCCGUGCGAAGCCGUAAGGCGAUGUAUACGGACUGACGCCUGCCCGGUGCUGGAACGUUAAGGGGACCGGUUAGCUCCAUUUCGGUGGGGCGAAGCUGAGAACUUAAGCGCCAGUAAACGGCGGUGGUAACUAUAACCAUCCUAAGGUAGCGAAAUUCCUUGUCGGGUAAGUUCCGACCUGCACGAAUGGCGUAACGACUUCUCGACUGUCUCAACCAUAGGCCCGGUGAAAUUGCACUACGAGUAAAGAUGCUCGUUUCGCGCAGCAGGACGGAAAGACCCCGGGACCUUUACUACAGUUUGAUAUUGGUGUUCGGUUCGGCUUGUGUAGGAUAGCUGGGAGACUGUGAACUCUGGACGCCAGUUCAGGGGGAGUCGUCGUUGAAAUACCAGUCUGGUCGUGCUGGAUGUCUAACCUGGGUCCGUGAUCCGGAUCAGGGACAGUGUCUGAUGGGUAGUUUAACUGGGGCGGUUGCCUCCUAAAGAGUAACGGAGGCGCCCAAAGGUUCCCUCAGCCUGGUUGGCAAUCAGGUGUUGAGUGUAAGUGCACAAGGGAGCUUGACUGUGAGACCGACGGGUCGAGCAGGGACGAAAGUCGGGACUAGUGAUCCGGCGGUGGCUUGUGGAAGCGCCGUCGCUCAACGGAUAAAAGGUACCCCGGGGAUAACAGGCUGAUCUUCCCCAAGAGUCCAUAUCGACGGGAUGGUUUGGCACCUCGAUGUCGGCUCGUCGCAUCCUGGGGCUGGAGUCGGUCCCAAGGGUUGGGCUGUUCGCCCAUUAAAGCGGUACGCGAGCUGGGUUUAGAACGUCGUGAGACAGUUCGGUCCCUAUCCGCUGCGCGCGCAGGAAUAUUGAGAAGGGCUGUCCCUAGUACGAGAGGACCGGGACGGACGAACCUCUGGUGUGCCAGUUGUUCUGCCAAGGGCAUGGCUGGUUGGCUACGUUCGGGAGGGAUAACCGCUGAAAGCAUCUAAGCGGGAAGCCUGCUUCGAGAUGAGUAUUCCCACCCACUUGAUGGGGUAAGGCUCCCAGUAGACGACUGGGUUGAUAGGCCGGAUCUGGAAGCACGGUAACGUGUGGAGGUGACCGGUACUAAUAGGCCGAGGGCUUGUCCUCAGUUG